UUUUUUUAACACUGUUAGUGAGCAGAGCUUGGAGAGUUCUGGGAAUUUUCCCCCUCAUCUGACCACAGAUUUUCAAAAAAGAAAAUUUAUUCUAUUGAAAACAUAUCAUGUUAAAGCUAAGAGGAAUCAUAGCUGUCAAUCAGAGAAGGGGAAGAAUAUUCUUCCCAUUUAUUUCUGUAAAGCUCGUAGAAAUCAUGUUCCUUUAUAGACAGUAGGAAGAAAACAACCUUGCCCUGAGAACAUAAAUUCAGUGUAUAAAAUCACGUAAAAUGAUAGUCUAGAGGGAAUGGCAAUCAGAGAAAUGAAGUGAGUGGGAACAGUGCUCAAUGGAUUGUUUUGUAUGAGGAAUUCAGGUCAUUUAUUUCAUUGGUGUUUCAUGUUGUCUCCUGUGGAAGAGAUAAGAGAGGAGGGUUAAUUUGCUCCCCAUUAUGAUCAGACAAGAGAGGGGAGAACAGAGAAGGCUGGUUCAGAGUCCAGGUUCAGAACAGCAAGGGGAAAGGUGUUUGUCUAAGGAGGCAUUUAAGGGAAGGAAGGGAGAGCUUUGGUACACAAGAACAGGGAGAUGGUUCUAAGCAAAUGGGCUAGGCACAGCCAUCUCUGUGGGAGCAGAUAAAGGGAACCUUAAUCAAAGUGGAUCAGAAGGGUGAGUGAAACAAGCUAAAAUGGGAAAUGAGCACCACUACAUCCGCUUUGAAGACCAAGUCUUGUAGUGUGAAUUUGAAAAGGGUCAGUGUAGCAGGAGAGAGAGACAUUGCUGUAGCUGCAGUAGUUUAAGAAGAACGUCCACCAUAAAAGCUCCCUUUAAGUUUACAAAAACUGCCACACCUACAGUACAGCCUCCUCCAAACCCAGAUAAGUGAUGUUCAUUACCGUUAAUGAAAAGUCGUGGUCAAAGCACACAGCGUAUUUUCAAGCAUUGGCAGGAGCACUUUUUACAGUAUUGCCAUGUUAACUUCCUAAGAGACUUCACAGUAAAAUACUAAGACAGUUAGUAGUUAUUGCCGAUUUUAACAAGAAAUGUUUAUCACUGGCAAAUAAUAGAUACAGCACUCCUGCAAAUUAACUCCUUUGCUAUUCCCAACUCCUUGCAGAGGUUAGCAGCAGGCUAUUUCAGCUAGCCUCGGUCAUAAGCAUGCUCAGCUGCGUCUCAGCACCAGGAUAGCCCAGGUUCAGCACAGCUCCUCUGAGCUGGCUGCCCUUUUCAGCUUGUAGUAGGAGAACAGCAAAGGUAGCGCUGCCUCAUGGUCCAAUUUAAUAGCAGUCAUUAUGGGUGUCACCUACCUGUCAUGUCUGACUCACCCCACCAUCUUUUUGUUGUUUUCAUUUAAAUAUUUAAACACUCAAAUAUUCCAGCCACUUUACAUUUCACCUCCUCAGAAAGAAGCAAUGUUUCAGAGGUGUUACCAUGGAAACAGUGGAGUGAGGAGGCAGCUAAACAUGAAAGAAAGUCGUCCAACAGUAAAUCCAGAGACAUGCUUUGGGAUAACUUGAAAUUAAAAAAUGUAUAAUUAAUUGGGCUGCUGCUGAGCAUCUGUUUGUACUUACUGCUUUCUUGUAGGUGACAAGAGGCCACCUUUUUGCCUGUGACAAGAAAAUAAAAUUUCCCUGUGCAGAAUUUCCAGUACCUAAAGUCCUUUUUGACACAAGACAUAAUACCACUCUUUGGAGAUGACCACCGGAGUUUGUUAUCAGCAAGGCAGAUGAACCCAUUAAUGUGAGUAGAGUUACAUGAAACCCAGACUGGGCUUUGCUGUCACUGACACGGUGCCCCUGGCUCAGAGCUUUGUGGAGGGGAUUACACUGAGUUACUUGUGACCAACAGACACUGAGCAUUGGCAUGCUCACCGGUGAUUUUCAAAUGCUAGCUUACAACAGGUAAGUAUCCUAGCUUCUGUUUUUCUUACUUAUAGGCUGUUAAAAAAGCCAUAACAAGAAAAUCAUUACCACAGAAUCCAAAACACUGAAAAUCUUUUCUUUGCCUUGAUAAAAUACCUGGCUAGUAUGAAUGCUCAUGAUUUCUCUGGUGAACUCAAAGGUACUAAGGCAUCAUCACACUUUCAAAAAUCUAGUGCUAUUUAGCAAGUAAAACAUUUUACAGUCUCAGACUUUACUGAGAAGUGGGCUUAGAGGGGAAGGAGAUGAAACGUUUUAGCUCUAGCUCAACUGUACUUUUAAACUUCUCAGUCAUAUCUGUUUUGCUACCUGAAAAAUUUUAAGGAAGUGAAAUCAAAUGUCUAUCUGAUUUUAGGUGAUGUGCAAUAUUUAUUCUGAAGGCUCACGCACCUUCUUUCACUGUUGAAUUAUUUACAACAUGCACACACUGUCAUGCCUCAAUAGAUCACUCUAUAACUCCACCAAGUAAAAUGAAAGUAAUUUGCACAUUGUAAAUAUAUAUGUGUGUGUGUGUAAAGGCUUCGUAAGAAUCAGUAUUAAUGAUCAGCCAUCCAUGCAAAGGACAGAAGAAUGUAAUUUAUUAAAGAUAGGGAGAGGCUUUGCAGGUGGAAACAAAUACAAAAUCCAGCUAGUCCAGCAUGUAUCUUGAGCACCAAUUAGUAAUGGAGGUUGCAAAAGAACGUUGAAGAAAUUGAGUCUUAACAAGAAGUCUUGUUUUUAAUGCCAGGUAGCUGGAGAUUAGUUUAAAUUGUGAAACUUGGAGGAGUUUGAUCCUUCAGUAUUAUUUUUGGUUUUGUGGGUUGUUUUUUUCAGUUUCACUAGCUAAUGACUCAGGGCACCUGUUACACUCAUAAACACCCAGCCUCUCCAUGAAUCUUGCUAAUUUCUUAGUCUAUACAAACAGUUAACAGGGUGCUUCUCCUAACCUGGCUUCAUACAUUUUUUUCCUUUGUGCUGAGGACUUUUAAAGGGCUGUGUGUAUUUGCUUAUGAAAUGGUAAUUGAUGUGAUUUACAUUAAAAAUCCAUGUGGGCAAAAGUA